rnacentral:rRNA from 1 species
GACGAACGCUGGCGGCGUGCCUAACACAUGCAAGUCGAACGGGACCAGGGGGCAACUCUGGUUCAGUGGCGGACGGGUGCGUAACACGUGAGGAACAUGACCUUCGGCGGGGGAUAGCCGGCCCAACGGCCGGGUAAUACCGCGUACGACCAUUUAGGGACAUCCCUGGGUGGUGAAAGCAGCAAUGCGCCGAAGGAGUGCCUCGCGGCCUAUCAGCUAGUUGGUGAGGUAACGGCNCACCAAGGCGACGACGGUAGCUGGUCUGAGAGGAUGGCCAGCCACAUUGGGACUGAGACACGGCCCACGACUCCUACGGGAGGCAGCAGUGGGGAACAUUGCGCAAUGGACGAAAGUCUGACGCAGCGACGCCGCGUGUGGGGUGACGGUCUUCGGAUUGU